AAACGGGUGCGGAACACGUACACAACCUUCCUUCAAAUGGGGAAUAGCCCAGGGAAACUUGGAUUAAUACCCCGUAACAUUAUGAAGUGGCAUCACUUUAUAAUUAUAGCUCCGGCGUUUGGAGAUGGGUGUGCGGCUGAUUAGGUAGUUGGUGCGGGUAACGGCCCACCAAGCCAGCGAUCAGUAACUGGUGUGAGAGCACGACCAGUCACACGGGCACUGAGACACGGGCCCG
rnacentral:rRNA from 1 species